rnacentral:lncRNA from 1 species
CCCGCCGCCGCCGGCGAGGUACCGCGAGCAGGGAACCGCGGUGACAAACCCGGCUUCCACAGCCACAGCUGGCGCGGGAACCUACACAGCUGGCGCGGGAACCUACGGCCGCGCGGGUUACGGCGGCUACGGAUCCGCGUAUGGGUCCACAGCGUACGGGGGCGGCGGCUACGGGGGAUACGGUGGAUACGGCGGCGUUGGAUCGUACGGCGGCUACGGCGG